CAGGCCUAACACAUGCAAGUCGAACGGGGUAGCAAUACCUAGUGGCGCACGGGUGAGUAACGCGUGGAUAAUCUGCCUUAGAGUGGGGGAUAACUAGUCGAAAGAUUAGCUAAUACCGCAUAAGACCACAAGAACUGCGGCUCAAGGGGUCAAAGGUUUUUCGCUCUAAGAUGAGUCCGCGUAAGAUUAGCUAGUUGGUGAGGUAAUGGCUCACCAAGGCGACGAUCUUUAACUGGUCUGAGAGGAUGAUCAGUCACACUGGAACUGAGACACGGUCCAGACUCCUACGGGAGGCAGCAGUAGGGAAUAUUGCACAAUGGAGGAAACUCUGAUGCAGCGACGCCGCGUGAGUGAUGAAGGCCUUCGGGUCGUAAAGCUCUGUCGCAGGGGAAUAACACAAUGAAUGUACCCUGUAAGAAAGGAUCGGCUAACUUCGUGCCAGCAGCCGCGGUAAGACGAGGGAUCCUAGCGUUGUUCGGAAUUAUUGGGCGUAAAGCGGAUGUAGGUGGCUUUGUAAGUCAGAUGUGAAAGCCCAGGGCUCAACCCUGGAAGUGCAUUUGAUACUGCGAAGCUUGAGUGUCGGAGAGGUUACUAGAAUUGUUGGUGUAGUGGUGAAAUACGUAGAUAUCAACAGGAAUACCGGAGGCGAAGGCGGGUAACUGGCCGAACACUGACACUGAGAUCCGAAAGCGUGGGGAUCAAACAGGAUUAGAUACCCUGGUAGUCCACGCCGUAAACGAUGGAUACUUGUUGUUAGAGGUAUUGACCCCUUCAGUGACG
rnacentral:rRNA from 2 species